UGGGGAAUAUUGCACAAUGGGCGAAGGCCUGAUGCAGCAACGCCGCGUGAGUGAUGAAGGUCUUCGGAUUGUAAAGCUCUGUCUUUUGGGACGAUAAUGACGGUACCAAAGGAGGAAGCCACGGCUAACUACGUGCCAGCAGCCGCGGUAAUACGUAGGUGGCGAGCGUUGUCCGGAUUUACUGGGCGUAAAGGGUGCGUAGGCGGAUGUUUAAGUGAGAUGUGAAAUACCCGGGCUUAACUUGGGUGCUGCAUUUCAAACUGGAUAUCUAGAGUGCAGGAGAGGAGAAUGGAAUUCCUAGUGUAGCGGUGAAAUGCGUAGAGAUUAGGAAGAACACCAGUGGCGAAGGCGAUUCUCUGGACUGUAACUGACGCUGAGGCACGAAAGCGUGGGUAGCAAACAGGAUUAGAUACCCUGGUAGUCCACGCCGUAAACGAUGAGUACUAGGUGUAGGAGGUAUCGACCCCUUCUGUGCCGCAGUAAACACAUUAAGUACUCCGCCUGGGAAGUACGAUCGCAAGAUUAAAACUCUAAAGUGAAUUGAC
rnacentral:rRNA from 1 species